GUAUUAUGGCUUGAAACACUAAGGGGAUCGUUCUUUUAUCCUGCUUAAAAAUCCAUAAAGAGGUGGCCUCCACUUUCGCUGCUGAAGCACUUGCAUGCCGUAAAGCAGUCCAAAUAGGCAUUGAAAUGCAGUGGCCGAAGAUCGUUAUUGAAGGAGACUCGUUAGCCAUCAUCAAGAAGUGUCAAUUAAAAGUCAAGACAGAUCACAAGUAGGAGUGUACAUACAUGAUAUUCAAUAGAUAACAGCUAGAUUCAAUAAUUUUGUGUUCAAAUAUACUUCGAGAUCAGCAAAUGGUUUAGCCCAUAUACUAGCAACAGAUUCUUUGAAAAAGAGUGAGGAGUUUUACCUGCUAAAGAACGUCCCUAGGUAUGCCGAAAAACAAAAGAAAGCUGACUGGAUGUGAGAACCAGACUGAAAUUGGCCGGAGAAAAGGAAAGUUUCACAUAGCAGAUGAAUAGUUUUUUGAAGAACAAGCUUUCUUGAGA
rnacentral:lncRNA from 1 species